rnacentral:pre_miRNA from 1 species
GUUUAACGCCGUUGACUUUUUAGCACAUGUUUGACCGUUCGUCUUAUUCAAAAAAUUUAAGUAAUUAUUAAUUCUUUUCCUAUCAUUUGCUUCAUUAUUAAAUAUAUUUUUAUGUAGGCAUAUAAUUUUACAUAUUUCACAAAAGUUUUGGAAUAAGACGAACGGUUAAACAUGUGCUAAAAAGUCAACAGUGUCAAAUAUU